rnacentral:rRNA from 1 species
AACCUCCGCAAUGUGAGAAAUCGCGACGGGGGGAUCCCAAGUGCCAUUCUUAACGGGAUGGCUUUUCUUAAGUGUAAAAAGCUUUUGGAAUAAGAGCUGGGCAAGACCGGUGCCAGCCGCCGCGGUAACACCGGCAGCUCUAGUGGUAGCUGUUUUUAUUGGGCCUAAAGCGUUCGUAGCCGGUUUGAUAAGUCACUGGUGAAAUCUUGUAGCUUAACUGUGAGAAUUGCUGGUGAUACUGUUGAACUUGAGGUCGGGAGAGGUUAGCGGUACUCCCAGGGUAGAGGUGAAAUUCUGUAAUCCUGGGAGGACCACCUGUGGCGAAGGCGGCUAACUGGAACGAACCUGACGGUGAGGGACGAAAGCCAGGGGCGCGAACCGGAUUAGAUACCCGGGUAGUCCUGGCCGUAAACGAUGCGGACUUGGUGUUGGGGUGGCUUUGAGCUGCUCCAGUGCCGAAGGGAAGCUGUUAAGUCCGCCGCCUGGGAAGUACGGUCGCAAGACUGAAACUUAAAGGAAUU